GUAAGUAAUACGGUUGCAAGUUAAAUAUAGAUUGUGUGUUUGUACUCAGAAUAGGACUGAUAUGCUCCCAGUUGGCUCCAUUUUGAUGUAGACUUGUUGUGAAAAACUUUGGUUUAGAUCUCGUCAGAUGAUGUUUGACAUUGAUGUUAUUGUGUGAAAAUCAAAUGGAAAGAUGCCUCUUGCGUUUCGAUGUUUCAGUAUGUGUUCAGCCUGGAGAACUGGGUUCUCACGGGUCUCCAGGGCGGCUAACCAACCCUCAAUCCCCGCUCUUCCUGUGAGCCUAUGGCGACCUGUCCUCUAUACUGGAUGAUGUUCAGCAGCCCUCAGGAGAGCAGGCCCAGGAUUCAUUCUCCCCCCUGGCCCCAUCACAGCCACUCAAUUCCCACGCUGCCGUCCUGGACUCUUCGGUCGAGCUGCUCUCCGCUCUCAGCCCAGAGGGGAGGGAGUUGCUGGCGGCGGUGACCAAGCAGGGCUACCCUCUCCGUACGGCCAUCAUCGCCCUCCAGAAAACUGGCCAGCAGAGUCCAGAGCAGGUCAAUGAGGGAGAUCUGUUACAGGGAUUCAGUCUGAAAUAAGAGAUGGGACUCAUUCGCGGGUCGAGAUGUAAUGCUGAGAUUCUCUGCACCAUCCUUGGUGUAUCACAGGGGAAGGUCAAUCAAAGUGCAUGCUGGGUUACCAGUAUAGUUCAGUUGUCAGUGUGCUUAUGAACAUGCACUAUGAACCCAGACCACAAUUAUGUAAAUAAUUUCACUGAAAUUAAAAAUUAAAUUGUUAAUUGAAAUAAAUCUGAAAUAAAAUAUAAAUAAUAGAUUCA
ensembl:lncRNA